rnacentral:rRNA from 1 species
UACGAAGGGGGCUAGCGUUGCUCGGAAUCACUGGGCGUAAAGCGCACGUAGGCGGAUUGCUAAGUCAGGGGUGAAAUCCUGGAGCUCAACUCCAGAACUGCCUUUGAUACUGGCGAUCUCGAGUCCGGGAGAGGUGAGUGGAAUUCCCAGUGUAGAGGUGAAAUUCGUAGAUAUUGGGAAGAACACCAGUGGCGAAGGCGGCUAACUGGUCCGAUACUGACGCUGAGGUGCGAAAGCGUGGGGAGCAAACAGG